rnacentral:rRNA from 1 species
ACCAAGGCAACGAUGCAUAGCCGACCUGAGAGGGUGAUCGGCCACACUGGAACUGAGACACGGUCCAGACUCCUACGGGAGGCAGCAGUAGGGAAUCUUCCGCAAUGGGCGAAAGCCUGACGGAGCAACGCCGCGUGAGUGAUGAAGGUCUUCGGAUCGUAAAACUCUGUUAUUAGGGAAGAACAUAUGUGUAAGUAACUGUGCACAUCUUGACGGUACCUAAUCAGAAAGCCACGGCUAACUACGUGCCA